rnacentral:sRNA from 1 species
AGUCCGCGCCGCAGGUAGUGCUUGUAUGCAGAGCGAUGACUUCUUUCCGCCUGGCCCUCAUCCAGCUUCAGAUUUCUUCCAUCAAAUCAGAUAACGUCACUCGCGCUUGUAGCUUCAUCCGGGAGGCAGCAACGCAAGGAGCCAAAAUAGUUUCUUUGCCGGAAUGCUUUAAUUCUCCAUAUGGAACAAAAUAUUUUCCUGAAUAUGCAGAGAAAAUUCCUGGUGAAUCCACACAGAAGCUUUGUGAAGUAGCAAAGGAAUGCAGCAUAUAUCUCAUUGGAGGCUCUAUCCCUGAAGAGGAUGCUGGGAAAUUAUAUAACACCUGUGCUGUGUUUGGGCCUGAUGGAACUUUACUAGCAAAGUAUAGAAAGCUUACUGCAGAGUGGGUCUGGGCAUCUGCUACGACAUGCGGUUUGCAGAGCUUGCACAAAUCUACGCACAGAGAGGCUGCCAGCUGUUGGUAUAUCCAGGAGCUUUUAAUCUGACCACUGGACCAGCCCAUUGGGAGUUACUUCAGCGAAGCCGGUAAGAAAGGAACCAUAUAUUCAAGCCUCUCGGCAUGUCCUCUUUGUAGAAAGAUUUCCGGUUGGGUGGAGGUGCCAGCCUUCCUGAUGUGGAUUCUGUCCCUGACUCAGGAUGCCCUUGUAUCCAAAUGCAGUUGGAAAGGAUGAAGCUAUAAGGAGGACAACUGCGCGUCACUUUCUCCUCAGAAGCCACAAUACCAACCUCAUGGAUUUUGGAAACUGUACUUUUUUUUUUUUUUUUUUUUUUUUUUAAGAGAUGGGGUCUUACCAUUGCCCAGGCUGGAGUGCAGUGGUGUAAUCGUAGCUCAUUACAGCCUUGAAAUCCUGGGCUCAAGAGAUCGUCCUGCCUCAGCCUCCUGAGUAGCUGGGACUACAAACAUGUGCCACCAUGCCUUGCUAAUUUUUUAUUUUUUGUAGAGAUAGAGCCUCACUCUGUUGAUCAAGCUGGUCUCAAUCUCCUGGCCUCAAGCGAUCUUCCCGCCUCAGCCUUUCAAAGUGCUGGGAUUACAGGUGUGAGCCCCAAGCCCUGCCGGAACUGUGGUUUUGGCAUUUUCAAUAUUCAGUGUGUUAGAUGGGAAGGGAUUUCAUUUUUCUGUGAUUAGAUGUGGAUUGGUCCCUCUUAAGUCAGUUCCAGUAACUUUUACAGAGAAAUUGAGAACCACAGAGCUUAUGUCUUCAGAGCCCCAGAAGCCAAUUAAAAGGCAGGGAUUAGUUUAGCUUGACCUAGGGAGAGAUUUGUGGUCUGUACCCAGCUGAUUCUAUGCCAUUCAGAUCAGGAUGCUUAUCCUACCCCCUACUUCACACCAUCCUACUAGUCCUGAGGGUACUGUGCCAAGAAACUCAUGAGAAGCUCUUGUUCUUCUAACCUAUAACUCCAGGGCUUUGCACAAGCAUCUUUGGCAGGUCACAGGUGCCUUUCCUUAGUCUUCUAAGGCUGAGAGGUGGUGAAGGGCAAAUAGCAUAGGUGGACAUAAGAUGGAAGGGAAAAUGAAUGUGACUGUGAGUGUGUCUGUCUGUCUGUAAAGUGCUCUACAGCCCAUGAAAUGCUGGUCUGAGAUGAUGGUUUUCUUUAGAAUUUUUAAAAGUUGAAGUAAUACAAAAAAAGUGUACUAAUUUUAAGCAUAUAGGUUG